rnacentral:rRNA from 1 species
UUACGCUGUUAUCCCUAAGGUAAUUUAUUUUAAAAUUCUAAAUUUUAGGAUUUUUUAUUCAUUAAUUUAUGUUUUUAUAUUAAAAGUUUAAAUAAUUUUAAAAUUACCCCAAUUAAAUAAUAUUUUAUUUUUAAAAAUAUUUUAUUAUAAAAUUCUAUAGGGUCUUAUCGUCUAUUAAUUAAAUUUAAGAAUUUUUACUUAAAAUUUAAUUUUAAAUUUUAAUUAUUUUUAUAUAGUUUAUAUUUCAUUAAAUCAUUCAUUCUAGUUUUUAAUUAAAAAACUAUUUAUUAUGCUACCUUUGUACAGUUAUUGAUACUGCAGCCAUUAAAUUUUUCAUUGGGCAGAUUUGACUUAAAAUUAUUUUCUAUAAGACAUGUUUUUGUUAAACAGGCG